rnacentral:lncRNA from 1 species
UAAGAUAAAACUUGAAAGGUUAUAUAAAUUGCAUAGCCAUCAGAGAUAUACAUGAUGAAGAUGGGGUGGACACUAGUUUGGUUAAUUCGAUAUCCAAACUGAUUAAUGUUAAACGGUUUGGAUUAGUUUGAGUUUUUUAACAUUUUUUACAUCUCUCAAACCAAAAUAAUAAAAUAAAAAACAAGAAAAAAAAAAAACAAAAAAGCUAUGGAAAACUUGCAUGUCCCCAAACCUAUGGUUUGUAGCAAGGAGGGGUUUUCUGAUGCAGAACUGCCGAGAUAAGGAUCAUCAAAUCGAAUAUCUUCCUCCAUACUGCCUUCUUUAAAUAUAUGGAAUCCAGUUACUUUAAUGAGUGAGCCAUCUAAGUCUAACAAACCUCUUUCUCUUUUUCUUUUUUCAUACGCUAACACACCUGGAUAUCUAACCUCCACAUGGUUCCAUUCUUUUUCCCAAGCCAUUUCUUCAAACCGAUUAUCAUUUUUUAUAGCGAACGCAUGGAGAUCAAAGAUAUAUGUAUGAUCGAUAUCCAAUUUCAACAUACUUUGUAUAUCGUCCCAUAAAUAGUAGUGCCAAAAUUCUUGAAAUUUGCUAUUGAUGAACACCUCGAGUUUAAGGAAAGGAUACCCGGCACCCGACACAGGUGCAAUAAGAAGACAAAGAAGUUUGGCAGGGAAUUUAUUACGAAACCAGAAAGAACUUGAAUGUCCACUGCUUUGCUGAUUGAACCACUCUGGUAUUCUUGUUCCUGGAAACAUAAACUUGGUUCCUCCAGCCUCAUACAGUUCCUGUUAGUCAUAAUUCAUAAAGAAUUCAUAAGCUUAACAACAUUAAGUGCACCAUCAUCAAAUCAUAUACAUUAUAAAAAGACAAUACCUGAUUUAGAAGCAUGCUUUUACUCGAGGAAGUCAAGGAUGCACAGUUUAUUGCCCUGAAAUCUUUUAAGUUUGGUGGAAGCCCUCUAAUUUUCUGAAGAUGCUCGCAAUCACUCACAUCAAGAGUUCUUAAAAAUUUCAGUUCUUUGAAGAAUUCGGGAAGGAUUGUGAAAUUAUUCCCCGAUAGAUCUAAAUAUUCUACAUGAGUAAACCUCUUGGAACCUGUUAAAAAAAAAUCAUCACAUAGAUUGCAAUUCAUGGCACGAAACCAACGUGCCUUUGAAGAUAGUAUUGAGCCCACUUUUUCUUCACCUUCUUCCGAUUCUACCCAUUGCCACCUGUUGCAAUAUUCAAUAUGGAGUUGAAACAAUUCGGGCAUCAUCACUAAUCUGCAUGGUAACUCAACAAUUAAACAGCUCCACAGGUAUAACACUUGAAGUCCAAUAAGAUUUUGAAAUGAAAAUGGCAAUUCUUUUAUGGGAAGGUCUCUCAAAACAAGUUGCUUUAUGUUUUCCAUCUCUCCUAAUAUUUCUGGAAAAUACUCAAGACUGGAACACCCAGAAAGUUGAAGUGUUUCAAGAGAGGUCAAGUUGAGAGGAGGAAAACUUGUAAGCUUCCUGCAACCAUAAGCAUUCAAUUUUUUAAGUUUAUUCAGAAAACCAAUUGAGUCAUCAACUGCAACUAAACUCUCACACCCUUUAAAUGAAAGUUCCCUCAAAUUUGGGAGAUCAGAUACAUCAGGUAUCUGUGUUAAAAAUUUGCAGUUGUCAAACUUCAAAACUGUUAGAUGCCCGAACUUCUGCAAAGGAAAAAAAAAGAAGAAAAGAAAUAAGAAGGAAUGAAUAAAUUUAUAGUGAAUUUAUUAAUUCACUGGAUGAGGAAAAUAUACUGUAUAAACUUGCCUUCGAUGAGCCAUGAAACUCAAAUGACGCCAUGGAACUGUCAGGUAACUUGCAUAUAAGAAGGUUGUUCGGAUGAAAGUUAGAUGGUAAACACUUUGAAGGAUAUCUGUGCCAUUCCAGUACUCUCAAACCUUCUGGAAAAUAAUUGGGACCUUUGGAAAAUUUGCCAUUUCUAAUAAUAAGGAUUUUAAGGUUUUCCAUCUUCAUGAAGGCGUUUUGGUUCCAUUCCACUGUCUGUUCUUUGUCAGAUAUGGAGAAAUCCAGACAUAUGAUUUCAAUCUUACUAGUUCCCUGUUAAUUCAAAAUAGCACGAAUCAACCACAAUACAACUUAUGUGAAAUAUCAAUUGACUGAAACGUUUAGAUAAAUUUACAAAUUAUCAAGAAAAAGUUAACUAUGAUGUAAAUAUGAGAUAGACCAAAAAAAAUUCAACUAUUCAUGAGCUCACUCACCGUGUUGUGUUUUAAAACUUGAAUUAUAUCUUUUGGUAACCAUAAUCUCUUGCACUUCCCUGGCUCUUCAGGUGAUAUCUGCCGCUCAAUUUCUCUACCCACAACCUGAAUUAGGUCAUGCAUAUUUACUGUACCAUGCCUAACCUUUAUGAGAGAUUUGUCAACCAACACAUCAAUAUGAUGUUUCAUGCAGUUAUUGUAAAGACCACGUAGCAUAUGUUCAACCUCUGUCAAUUUGCAUCCUUUGAAGCAACAAGCAAUGUCAAGGAAAACAUUCUUUUGUUCUUCCCCCAAAGCAUCAAAGCUUACUUUUAGAAUUUCUAGGAUUUCAUCAUUGGGAAUUCUUUUAUAAUGUUCCACAGCAGAUUUCCAUUCUGCUACCCUUUUUCCAAACAUGUUGGAACCUAUGACUUCCAAAGCCAAUGGAAGGCCAGAAGCAUAAGUUACUACACGAUUCAAAACGUCCUCAUAACUUGGAUCAAUUUUUUCUCUUUUGAAAGCAUUCCAUGUAAGCAAUUGUAGAGCAGCAUUCUGAUUCAAAACCUCCACCUCAUAUCUUUUUUUAACCCCAUGAGGUGCUAGCAGUUGUUUGUCCCGAGUGGUGAUGAUGAUUAUGCUGCCAGGACCAAACCAAUCACGUCGUCCAGCAAUUGUCUGUAAUUGCUGGGGCUUGUCAACAUCGUCCAGAAUCAAGAGAACCUUCUUCCCCUUAAGCAUAGACUGGAUCUUUGAAAUUCCUUGUUGCUUACUUCUUACUUUGAUGUCCUCUCCAAGUAUUUCUGAAAGAAGAAUGCUUUGGAGGUGUUGUAACCCAUGAUUGUUUGAACUUUCUCUCACGUUUUCAAGAAAACACAAACCAUCAAAAUUCUCAGUAAUUAUUAAAUCAUUAUAGACAGCUCGAGCAAGAGUUGAUUUUCCUAUCCCACCCAUUCCGUGGAUCCCUAUCAUGCAGACACCAUCAUGGUUUCCAACAUCCAAAAGCUUCCUUACUUCUUGUACUUUUGACUCUAGUCCAACAGGCAGAUCCGCAACAUGUAAACUAGCAGGGUUAAUCUUCUCAGAGACCGAUGCAACAAUUCUCCCAAUAAACUUGUAUUCAUAUUCAUCUCUAUCUCAAACAAAAAAGUUUCAAUGAAAUUAAACUAAAAGCCUAGUAUCCAUGCCCUGAUAAGUCCAUACGUGUAUCGACAAGGUUAACACAUAUUUCUUUUCUCUUUAAAUUUGAACAUUAAAUUGUCAGACAAGUAAAACUUAAUCCAAUAAAAAAUAAAAAAUAAAAAGAAAGGUAUGGUUGGGUACCUAUCUUUGAAAUGAAGGCCAGACAAGUUGGCUACUUGACGCAGAGCCCUCUCCCAUUUCUGCAACUUGUCUGGAAAUCUUUUCUUAUGCUUAGCCAAUGCUUCUCCAUAAGUACCUUUCUGGUGUCUGACAUCACAAGGAUAGACCUUAUAAAAGACCGGUAUAACCAUCAUCCCAUUAUACUGGGCGCAGAAAAGGAUGGUUGCAAGUUCAUCCAAGCAAAAUGAGGAAGAAGCAAAGUCUUCAGAGAGCACAGUGAUGGCAAUCCUGGAAUCUUGAAUUGCCUUCAAAAGUGCUGGUGUUAUUUCCUCUCCACUGUGAAGCUUGUCUUCGUCAAAGAAGGUAUGAAUUCCCUUGUCACAAAGAGCCUUGUAGAGAUUGCCAGUAAAACCAUAGCGUGUGUCUUCCCCUCUGAAGCUGAGGAAAACAUCGUAGAUUGAUGCACGAGAACGUGUUGCCGCAGCCAUUAUUAGAAGAAAAAAGUUUAGUAUGGUUAUGGUUGAUAUGGUAGGAGGUAGAAUGAAACUUGAACAAAUAUGAAAAUGAUAGUAUACCAAAUGCUGUGUAUUAUAAAGAAGAUAGCCGCCUUUGUGGAAAAUAUCUUGUUUUUUUUCAUUCUCUGUUAUAAAAAGUCAAGCUCUUAUAAAGAAAGAUGCUCUCACUUUUUUCAUUUUAAAAAAUACUUUUUAUAAUCAAAUUCUUACAAAUAAACUAUAAAAAGUAUUUUUAAUAACUGGUAUUUUAUUUAAAAUAAUUAACUGGUGGUACUACUAAUUCUCCCGCCCCUAAAAGAAUUGUUAGAGAAUCAAAGUAUAUAUUAACUAAUAAGUAAUCUGAUAAUUUUUAAUCACAAAGAGCCUCAAAAUUUGUCUUUUAUUAAAACAGAGUAAAAAUAUAAGUGAGAGACGAAAAUAGAGAAGAGAUAGAAUACGAGAAAAAAGUUAUGCAUACUCGAAGCGUAAUUUUUUUUACAUAACUAAGAAUCCAUUCAAAUUCACUGAGUAUCACUGAAACUAACGCUCUAGAAUCCAUUAAAAUUACUAGGUCAUAUUGUCAGAGUAACUGGAAUUCCGUAUCUCACAAAAUCUUAAAACAACCAGCUAUGUUUUCAUCCAAGACAAACCUUAUCAUGAUAAUGAAUAAGAAGUUUAGAUAGAUCAUAUAGUAGUAUGCUAGCUAAGUCCUAAGAAGUACACUUUCAAAAUUUAACUAAUUUAAGUUUUUCUCCUUUCUGAUCAAAUUAUUUAGCAUAACCAGUAGGAACCUGAUCAUCCUAGCAAUUAGAAGGGAGAAAGUAGAACCUGCAAAAAUAAAAAAGUUAAAGAUAUAAAUUUGUAUUGACUUAAAUAUUUAAAAUGAAUAAAUAAUCAAUUUUCUUCCUAAAAGUAUGAGGCAGUAUGCAGUGUCAAUUUAAUCCCUAAAAGUAAUAAAAUAAAGGAGAAAAAAUCUCCAAUGUCCUUACCGUAUCACUUUAGUUCCUAAACUUAACUUAUUGUCAUUUGGUCCUUAAGAUAUGCUAAUUUUUUUUAUUUUAAUAAGUCACACAACAUUUAGAAUUUUGGAUUAAAAUAAGUGACAACUUGCAUUUCCAAAGAACUUUUUUUUUAUCUAACCUAAAAAAAAUACCUUUUUAUCAUUUUAUUACGUUCAGGAGCUCAAGUGGCCACGUCCCGCAAUUUCAGGAAAAAAAAUGACAUUUACUUAUCUAUUUGACAUGUUCUUAUAUCUAACUAAUAUGAUAUUAAUAAUCUUUUGUAAACUUCGAUAUUUUAACGUGAAUGCUAGUUUAGUUGACUUUUUGCUCUUAAAUUUACAAUUUUAGUUAUUUGAUAAAAAAAACAUUAUUCCAUUAUCAUGCCUCAAGUUAAACUAAGUUAGAAAUAUAUUUAAAACACUAUAUAUUACUAAAAGUUUUAUGUUCUGUUUAUAUGACUGAAAUAUAUUGUCAAUAAAAAUACAAACAUAAAUUAAUUAAUUACUAUUCAUAUUUUUUAUCAAAAUUAAAAUUUUCAAAUGUACUUUUAGAUCACAUAUACUAAUAUUAGUAGUAUAAAAAAAAUUGUAAUAUAUUAUUAAAUAAGUAUACAAAAAAAUUACAAAUAUAUUUUUAUAUUGUUUUAUAGUAGAACUUGUAAGGGAAAAUCUAAAACUAAACAAAAAGCAUAUUAAAUAAUUUUUUUACUUUCUUUUAAUUACAGUGUAUAUAUAAGAUAGAUAUAUUUUUUACUUACUAAAACUAAACACAAUUUUGAUAUCUGUUGGUUUAUGUAGUUUUGAAAUCUGACUAUAAAAAUAUAUAGAAAGUUAAACUUGAAAGGUUGCAUAUAGAAAAGGUUAUAUAUAGAAAAUACAUAUAGUCGUGAAAGAUGAAUAUAAAUGAGUCAAAAGUACAUGAUGAAGAUAGGGCGAACAGCAGUUGGGUUAAGUCAAUUUUUGAUAACUGAAACCAAAAUAAUAAAAUAAAAAACAUGAAAAAAACAAGAAAAAAGCUAUGGAAAACUUGCGUGUCCACAGAACUAUGGUUUGUAGGAAGGAGGGGUUUUCUGAUGCAGAACUUCUGAGAUAAGGAUCAUCAAAUCGAAUAUUUUCCUCCAUACUGCUUUCUUCUUUGAAUAUAUGGAUUCCAGUUGUUUUAAUGACUGAGCUCUCUAAGUCUAACACACCUUCUUUUCUUUUUUCUUUUUCAAACGAUAAUACACUUUGAUAUCUAACCUCCACAUGGUUCCAUUCCUUUCCCCAAGCCACUUCUUCAAACAGAUUAUUAUUUUUGAAACGUAAAUCUUGGAGAUCAAAGAUAUAUGUAUGAUCCAAUUUCAACAUACUUCCUAUCUUCUUACUUCCAUAAUAGAGCGGAAAUUUUAGAAUUUUUCCAUUGAUGAACACCUUUGGAUUAAGGACACCAAUCCCAGUAGACACAGGUGCAAUAAGAAGACAAAGAAGUUUGGCAGGGAAUUUAUUACGAAACCAGAAAGAACUUGAAUGUCCACUGCUUUGCUGAUUGAACCACUCUGGUAUUCUUCUUCCUGGAAACAUAAAACAGGUUCCUCCAGCCUCAUGCAGUUUCUG